rnacentral:rRNA from 1 species
GUGGGGAAUAUUGGACAAUGGGCGCAAGCCUGAUCCAGCCAUGCCGCGUGAGUGAUGAAGGCCUUAGGGUUGUAAAGCUCUUUCAGUAGGGAAGAUAAUGACGGUACCUACAGAAGAAGCCCCGGCUAACUUCGUGCCAGCAGCCGCGGUAAUACGAAGGGGGCUAGCGUUGUUCGGAUUUACUGGGCGUAAAGCGCACGUAGGCGGUUUGUUAAGUCAGGGGUGAAAUCCCACAGCUCAACUGUGGAACUGCCCUUGAUACUGGCAAGCUAGAGUCCGGAAGAGGUAAGUGGAACUCCUAGUGUAGAGGUGGAAUUCGUAGAUAUUAGGAAGAACACCAGUGGCGAAGGCGGCUUACUGGUCCGGAACUGACGCUGAGGUGCGAAAGCGUGGGGAGCAAACAGGAUUAGAUACCCGAGUAGUCC